UACGGGGGGGGCAAGCGUUGUUCGGAAUUACUGGGCGUAAAGGGCUCGUAGGCGGCCAACUAAGUCAGAUGUGAAAUCCCCAGGCUCAACCUGGGAACUGCGUCUGAUACUGGAUGGCUUGAAUCCGGGAGAGGGAUGCAGAAUUCCAGGUGUAGCGGUGAAAUGCGUAGAUAUACGGAGGAACACCGAUGGCGAAGGCAGGUCUCUGGGCCACUACUGACGCUGAGAAGCGAAAGCAUGGGGAGCGAACAGG
rnacentral:rRNA from 1 species